CACAAGCGGUGGAUGAUGUGGAUUAAUUCGAUGCAACGCGAAGAACCUUACCUACCCUUGACAUGUCCGGAACUUGCCAGAGAUGGCUUGGUGCCCGAAAGGGAAUCGGAACACAGGUGCUGCAUGGCUGUCGUCAGCUCGUGUCGUGAGAUGUUGGGUUAAGUCCCGCAACGAGCGCAACCCUUAUCAUUAGUUGCUACGCAAGGGCACUCUAAUGAGACUGCCGGUGACAAACCGGAGGAAGGUGGGGAUGACGUCAAGUCCUCAUGGCCCUUAUGGGUGGGGCUACACACGUCAUACAAUGGAUGGUACAAAGGGUCGCCAACCCGCGAGGGGGAGCCAAUCCCAUAAAGCCAUUCGUAGUCCGGAUCGCAGUCUGCAACUCGACUGCGUGAAGUCGGAAUCGCUAGUAAUCGUGGAUCAGAAUGUCACGGUGAAUACGUUCCCGGGUCUU
rnacentral:rRNA from 1 species